GGUUAUCUCAGACACCAACAUCCUACUGGCCGUGUAUAAAGGGCUGAUUAAAAAGCUCAGUGAAGGACAGUGGGGAUCCUGCUCGGGAUUGUCCAUCCCCCUGUUUGACAGAGAGACUGUUCACACAGUGACUGUCCCCCAUGGUCUCACACUUCAUCCUCCCAAAUAUUCCUGUUUCUCUUCAUUUCAAUCUGGAUUCACUCACCCCACACCUUUCUUAGUUAUGGAUAAACCUGCCCUCGGAUUAUCCUGAAUUCCUCACUCUAGAUGGACCAUGGGCAGGAAAGUCCCUUCAAUAUUUUUCUUCCAUUUAUGCCAAGUUCCUGUUCCAGAGACUAAUGUAUACAGUGGAAUGUAUACAAUUGUUUCUGGAAUUAAUGACUUUCCUGAGUUUAUAAACAGUGCAACAGUCAAUGGAGUUAUAAUAGCUUCUCGUGACAAUAAAUCCCAGCGGAACAUCCCCAAGCAGCAGUUCAUGGCAGAAUUCUUCAAUGAGAAUUUCUGGGAUUAUGUCACAGAGAUAGUGAACAGACAUGCAAACAUGGCAAGGGAAACAAUGAGUGCAGUAAUGAAGAGGACAAACCAGACAUCUGGAUUUCACAUUUUUCAACGGAUAGCUACUGUUGAGAUCAGUGAUGAUGGCAGCAUUAAGACAUCGAUGAGAUUUGGCUUUGAUGGAGAAGACUUUAUCAGUUUAGACCCAAACAGAAUGAAAUGGAUCGCAUCCAAUUCCAUCGCAGUGAUGACUAAAGAGAAAUGGGAUUCUGAUGAUUCCUGGAACAACUACUGGAAAAGACACCUGGAAGAAGAAGAUGUUGAACAUUUAAAGAGAUAUUUGGAAGCUGGAAAGGAAUAUUUCACAAGGAAAAUUCAGCCUGAAGUGUUCAUCUCCAGGAGGGAGCCCAAUGGUCAGGACAAGCCGCUCACUCUCUCCUGCCUGGUCACUGGGUUUUAUCCUGUAGACAUCGAGGUGACCUGGCUAAGGAAUGGAAAGGUCAUGUCUGGGAUAUAUUCCUCGGGGGUUCGACCGAACCACGAUGAGACCCAUCAGAUCCAGAAAGAGAUUGAGAUCAGUGCUGGGGAUGAGGAUCAAUACUCCUGUCAAAUUGAACACAGCAGCCUGGUAGAGGCCCAGCUCUAUCAGUUGGAAAAUCUGAAAAGCAAUUGGCUGCAUUCCCAUCUUGGAAGUCUCAUUGCAUCAAUGGUCAUUCUAUUGGCUGUUAUUGUCGGGAUAUUCGGAAUAAUCAUCUGGAAAAUAUCACGGAGAGGUUCACCAAGUGGGACCUACACAACAGCUCCCAGUAAGUGACUGAGGGGACAGAGUGUUGGGAAUGAUGGAUAAGCUUCUGAUAUCUCUGGUGCAGCUUCUUCAUGAUUCAAUUGAACAGUGAAUCCCAGAUCCCCAGGUUUGGAUCUUGGUUCUUCAAGUGAGAUCUUCUCAAGUCAUGUUUCCAUCCCGUCUCAAUGUGAGCAGUGUCACCGUCAGAGGGAUCUUCACGGAUGGUUCCUCCCUCACAGAUUCUCAUCCUCACUGUCUUCAGUGGGUCAGUGAUUGACCUGAAAUGAAGCAACGUCCUGAAGGAACUCAGAGACAGUUCUUAUAUUGAAAGAAAUUGAUUUUGCAUCUGACGUUAACAAAUUUCAAAUGUUAUGCAAAUCUCUGUACAUAAAUAUCAGUUUUACAUAUUCUAAUUCUGAGAUAAAUAUAUAAAUAUUAUAAAUCUGAGUUAUUGUUGAAUACUAAGUUUGAUCACUACUUAUCGCCAUUGUUUAAAUACAAUCACCAAUAUGUGUCAUUUGUAAUCAUUAAAAGUUAUUUAUUGA